ACAAACAACUCAAAAUCCGGAAGCAAUACCAUAACUGCUUUUGACAGCUCCUCGUUCACUCUCAUUUAACUACUAACAAUAGUUUUUUAUUAUGGAUUUUACUAUAACUUUGAUACGUUUAUGUGUAUUAUCUUCAUAGGAUAAUCAUGCAAAACUGUAAGGAUCGUAAUGCAAAUGUUUACACUAGUUGUUUUAGCGCUAAAUAUUUUCCUUGAGUUCAAACGUCAUGUCAGAUCAGCAGCAGUUAGAACCUAUUAUCAAGCGAUUGCCAGAUAAGUUUAAUGGCGUCAGAGCCUUGGCGUGAAGUCAGCUGAGAGCUGCUGCCAUAAGGGAGAUUUAUAAACCCCUCCAUGACCAUGUCUACCAUCUACAGCUUCUGUGAUGAGAUGGAACAUUUUGAACAGUGUACAGACCCAACAUAAUGAACUACAGGAUCCUCCUGAACGAGCUAGGAUUUGACAAUGGCUUUACCACCCCUCUCCGUGUGCAGUAUCUGUAGCCUCUCACAUCUCUGCUCUACCCUAAAUACGCUGCCUACACAGCCACAAGGCCUUCAUGGUGAAAUAUGACAUUCAUGAAGACCUGGACCUCGUCUACCAUUACGACAACGCAGAGGUCACUCAAUGUGUCUCUGGGGAACCUCUACUUUGGUGACAUGAAACAGGUGCCUAAUCAGAGCCAAUUUGGUGCCUCUGAGUGAGAGUGUCUACAGAGGUAGAGCAGGGAAUGAUAGAGGGUCUCCUAUACAGAGGACAACACAUGCACGGUUCCCUGCCCAUCUCCUCUGGCCAGUGCUGGAACCUCAUUGUCUGGAUGAGGGCCUCACAGGAGAGGACAAAACUGUGCCCCAUGUGCAAAAAUAAGCCUACCUUGGUCGAGGGACAGGGCUUCACAGAUGGCUUCACCAGUGACUCAGGGAUGUCUCUUCUACAGGAUGUAUCAUGCGUUCUGCGUUAACUUAAUGCUGCUGGUCCAUAUGUUUUUGUGUAUGUUAGUAUGAUUUGUGUCUGGAUGUCUGCUUAUCGUGGACAUUAUCGCAUGUGCCAAAAAAGAGUUAUAGAGAGGAAACGUGGUAGACAUUAGGAACAUUAUUUCUACAUAACACUGCACUACAUACUUCAUUACGCAGUGUCACAUUUAUUCCAAUCUUUUCUAAAUGAUCAUGUCCAUAAAAAAUAUGUGUAGCCUGU